rnacentral:rRNA from 1 species
UACGGGGGGGGCAAGCGUUGUUCGGAAUUACUGGGCGUAAAGGGCUCGUAGGCGGCCAACUAAGUCGUAUGUGAAAUCCCCAGGCUUAACCUGGGAACUGCAUCCGAUACUGGAUGGCUUGAAUCCGGGAGAGGGAUGCAGAAUUCCAGGUGUAGCGGUGAAAUGCGUAGAUAUCUGGAGGAACACCGAUGGCGAAGGCAGCUCGCUGGGACGGUACUGACGCUGAGGCGCGAAAGCGUGGGGAGCAAACAGG